GACGAACCUUGCAAACGUUAUUCGGAAUCACUGGGCUUAAAGGGUGUGUAGGCUGUGCAGAAAGUUGGGUGUGAAAUACCUCGGCUUAACCGAGGAAUUGCGCCCAAAACUACUGUGCUCGAGGAAGAUAGAGGUGAGCGGAACUUAGGGUGGAGCGGUGAAAUGCGUUGAUAUCCUAAGGAACACCGGUGGCGAAAGCGGCUCACUGGAUCUUAUCUGACGCUGAGGCACGAAAGCCAGGGUAGCAAACGGG
rnacentral:rRNA from 1 species